rnacentral:rRNA from 1 species
GAUGAACGCUGGCGGCGUGCCUAAUACAUGCAAGUCGAGCGAACAGACGAGGAGCUUGCUCCUCUGACGUUAGCGGCGGACGGGUGAGUAACACGUGGAUAACCUACCUAUAAGACUGGGAUAACUUCGGGAAACCGGAGCUAAUACCGGAUAAUAUAUUGAACCGCAUGGUUCAAUAGUGAAAGACGGCUUUGCUGUCACUUAUAGAUGGAUCCGCGCCGCAUUAGCUAGUUGGUAGGGUAAAGGCUUAACAAGGCAACGAUGCGUAACCGACCUGAGAGGGUGGUCGGCCACUCUGGAACUGAGACACGGUCCAGACUCCUACGGAAGGCAGCAGUAGGGAAUCUUCCGCAAUGGGCGAAAGCUUGACGGAGCAACGCCGCGUGAGUGAUGAAGGUCUUCGGAUCGUAAAACUCUGUUAUUGGGGAAGAGCAAAUGUGUAAGUAACUAUGCACGUCUUGACGGUACCUAAUCAGAAAGCCACGGCUAACUACGUG